rnacentral:rRNA from 1 species
UACAGAGGGUGCAAGCGUUGUUCGGAAUUACUGGGCGUAAAGGGCGCGUAGGCGGCCAUCUAAGUCAGACGUGAAAUCCCCCGGCUUAACCUGGGAACUGCGUCUGAUACUGGACGGCUUGAGUAUGGGAGAGGGAUGUAGAAUUCCAGGUGUAGCGGUGAAAUGCGUAGAUAUCUGGAGGAAUACCGGUGGCGAAGGCGGCAUCCUGGACCAUUACUGACGCUGAGGCGCGAAAGCUAGGGGAGCAAACGGG